rnacentral:rRNA from 1 species
GCGGUGUUUGGCACCUCGAUGUCGGCUCAUCACAUCCUGGGGCUGAAGCCGGUCCCAAGGGUAUGGCUGUUCGCCAUUUAAAGUGGUACGCGAGCUGGGUUUAGAACGUCGUGAGACAGUUCGGUCCCUAUCUGCCGUGGACGUUUGAGAUUUGAGAGGGGCUGCUCCUAGUACGAGAGGACCGGAGUGGACGAACCUCUGGUGUUCCGGUUGUCACGCCAGUGGCAUUGCCGGGUAGCUAUGUUCGGAAGAGAUAACCGCUGAAAGCAUCUAAGCGGGAAACUUGCCUCAAGAUGAGAUCUCACUGGGAUCUUGAAUCCCCUAAAGGGCCGUCGAAGACUACGACGUUGAUAGGUUGGGUGUGUAAGCGCUGUGAGGCGUUGAGCUAACCAAUACUAAUUGCCCGUGAGGCUUGACCAU